UUGGAAACGAUAGCUAAUGCCGCAUAAGAGUAAUUAACCCCAUAUUAGUUGUUUAAAAGGAGCAAUUGCUUCACUGUGAGAUGGACGUGCGUCGUAUUAGCUAGUUUUUGAGGGUAAAGACUCACCAAGGAGACGAUACAAAGCCGACGUGAGAGGGUGAUGAGGCCACACUGGGACUGAGACACGACCCAGACUCGUACGGGAGGCAGCAGUAGGGAAUAUUUGGCAAUGGACGGAAGUCUGACCGAGCAACGCCGCGUGAGUGAAGAAGGUUUUCGGAUCGUAAAGCUCUGUGGUUAGAGAAGAACGUUGGUAGGAGUGGAAAAUCUACCAAGUGACGGUAACUAACCAGAAAGGGACGGCUAACUUCGUGCCAGCAGCCGCGUUAAUAGGUAGGUCCCGAGCGUUGUCCGGAUUUAUUGGGCGUAAAGCGAGCGCAGGCGGUUCUUUAAGUGUGAAGUUAAAGGCAGUGGCUUAACCCUUGUACGCUUUGGAAACUGGAGGACUUGAGUGCAGAAGGGGAGAGUGGAAUUCCAUGUGUAGCGGUGAAAUGCGUAGAUAUAUGGAGGAACACCGGUGGCGAAAGCGGCUCUCUGGUCUGUAACUGACGCUGAGGCUCGAAAGCGUGGGGAGCAAACAGGAUUAGAUACCCUGGUAGUCCACGCCGUAAACGAUGAGUGCUAGGUGUUAGGCCCUUUCCGGGGCUUAGUGCCGCAGUUAACGCAUAAGCAC
rnacentral:rRNA from 1 species